GGGUUCCUGAGGAGCAGGGGCUGUGUGCCCCCGGGCCCCAGGGCUGUGCUUCCCCAGCCGCUCUCCCUGUGGUCACAAGGCCGGUGCCCUAAUUGUGCACCGCGCUCUGCAGCGAAGAGGGAGGCCGCAGCCCAGUGUUUUGCUGAGGUCACGGGGCCGCCUCUCCAUGGAUUAUAGAAACAUCACAAUGGCCCUUUGCUCACCACAUUCUGGAGACUUGGCCAGUAUUCCUGGUGACUGGAGUGGCAGCAGACAAGAUGGGCUGGGCUGCAUUCCACACUGAGGGGACUCUGCUACCCAGAGGCUCCCUCCAACUGUGGACUCUGAUAAGGAGCGUGGAGGGCUUGGCGAGAGAGACCCAGCCUGGAAAGGCCAGUGGUGUAGGCGGGAGGCGUGCGGCCGGCGCGGAGCCCGGGACGGCGGUUUGUGUGUCCUCCCCACAGGCUCACGUGCCCCCAGAGUCAGAGCCCAACUUGGCAUUUCAUCUGAUCAAACUUUCCUGCCACAAGUUUAGCAGAAGAGCUCACGAUUCAGCUUCCACACAAUGGGGUUAGUAAAGACACUCUGUCUUCUCAGAAGA